UUUCCGUAGGUGAACCUGCGGAAGGAUCAUUAUUGUAUAACCGAGGUGCGAGGGCUGUCGCUGACCCGAAAGGUCGUGCACGCCCGAGUGCCCUCACACACAUCCAUCUCACCCCUAUGUGCACCACCGCGCGGGUCCCCCUUUGGCUUGUUCGGAGGGGGGCUUACGCUUUCACACAAACUUUGUAUGCAGUGUAGAAUGUAUUUUUUGUUUUUGCGAUCACGCAAUCAAUACAACUUUCAACAACGGAUCUCUUGGCUCUC
rnacentral:misc_RNA from 1 species